rnacentral:rRNA from 1 species
AGAGUUUGAUCAUGGCUCAGAANNNNCGCUGGCGGCAUGCCUAACACAUGCAAGUCGAACGCACGUAGCAAUACGUGAGUGGCGGACGGGUGAGUAACGCGUGGGUACCUGCCCAGUAGUACGGAAUAACCACGGGAAGCUGUGGCUAAUACCGUAUACGCCCUUCGGGGGAAAGAUUUAUCGCUAUUGGAGGGGCCCGCGUCGGAUUAGCUAGUUGGUGAGGUAACGGCCCACCAAGGCGAUGAUCCGUAGCUGGUCUGAGAGGACGACCAGCCACACUGGGACUGAGGCACGGCCCAGACUCCUACGGGAGGCAGCAGUGGGGAAUAUUGGACAAUGGGGGAAACCCUGAUCCAGCAAUGCCGCGUGAGUGAAGAAGGCCUUAGGGUUGUAAAGCUCUUUCAGCGGGGAAGAUGAUGACGGUACCCGCAGAAGAAGCCCCGGCUAACUCCGUGCCAGCAGCCGCGGUAAUACGGAGGGGGCUAGCGUUGUUCGGAAUUACUGGGCGUAAAGCGCACGUAGGCGGUGGCGCAUGUCAGAUGUGAAAGCCCCGGGCUUAACCUGGGAAUUGCAUUUGAAACUGCGUCGCUAGAGGCCGGAAGAGGGUAGCGGAAUUCCCAGUGUAGAGGUGAAAUUCGUAGAUAUUGGGAAGAACACCGGUGGCGAAGGCGGCUACCUGGUCCGGUUCUGACGCUCAGGCGCGAAAGCGUGGGGAGCAAACAGGAUUAGAUACCCUNNU